GGUUGACCUCGGAUCAGGUAGGGAUACCCGCUGAACUUAAGCAUAUCAAUAAGCGGAGGAAAAGAAACCAACAGGGAUUGCCCCAGUAACGGCGAGUGAAGCGGCAAGAGCUCAUAUUUGAAAUCUGGCCUCCCCCGGGGGUCCGAGUUGUAAUUUGCAGAGGAUGCUUCGGGCGCGGCCCCCGUCUAAGUUCCUUGGAACAGGACGUCAGAGAGGGUGAGAAUCCCGUCUUGGGCGGGCGGCCCGCGCCCGUGUGAAGCUCC
rnacentral:rRNA from 1 species